AAUAAGGAAUCAUAGCUCUCACCUGGAUUCACGUGGUCAGUCUGUCAUGCCUGACAAGAACAAGCACAUCCUGGCGCUACAGUUCAGUUGGAAGAAUGGAAUGAAACCCAAAGGCAGCACCUUCGUUGGCGUCAGUCCUGAAUUUGAGUUUGCUCUUUAUACCCUGUGUUUCCUGGUCUCACCCAAUGAGCGUGUCAGUGUUCUUCGGUAUCUAUGAGGUGGAAGUCGUCUGUCACCACUAUAACAAGAAGCAUAUCGGCACAACCUACCCUGUUCUUGUGAAGUACCAAAACGAAGAAAAAACACUAAUCAAAUACACUCUCAUCCAAGUGUCACGAGUAUUGUUUUUAUAUUUUUCAUUUAAAUAAAGAUGCAAUAAAUCUG